GACGAACGCUGGCGGCGUGCUUAACACAUGCAAGUCGAACGGAAAGGCCCUGCUUUUGUGGGGUGCUCGAGUGGCGAACGGGUGAGUAACACGUGAGUAACCUGCCCUUGACUUUGGGAUAACUUCAGGAAACUGGGGCUAAUACCGGAUAGGAGCUCCUGCUGCAUGGUGGGGGUUGGAAAGUUUCGGCGGUUGGGGAUGGACUCGCGGCUUAUCAGCUUGCUGGUGGGGUAGUGGCUUACCAAGGCUUUGACGGGUAGCCGGCCUGAGAGGGUGACCGGCCACAUUGGGACUGAGAUACGGCCCAGACUCCUACGGGAGGCAGCAGUGGGGAAUAUUGCACAAUGGGCGGAAGCCUGAUGCAGUAACGCCGCGUGCGGGAUGACGGCCUUCGGGUUGUAAACCGCUUUCGCCUGUGACGAAGCGUGAGUGACGGUAAUGGGUAAAGAAGCACCGGCUAACUACGUG
rnacentral:rRNA from 1 species